CUUCAGCUUUGGUCCCUCGGGGCGUCUGGGCAGCCUACGCUUUCCGAAGUACAGUCUAUAUAAAGACUGUCCAGGACAAAAACUGGCCACUCCAUUCAGCAUUGACAGCAGUAUUUAAAGCUGGUGCAUGGUGAGGUGAAGUUUCUCAAGGGCAAAGACAAUGCCUUCAUGCAUGUUCAGUGUCUGCCCCCGUGGGCUUUGAAAUGAUCGCUGACAAUGGGGGAUCUGCAGUGACUUCUCUGCCUCUGCCAAAGCCCAGGGGUGCUGCUCCCUAAUUCUAAGGAUUCUAAUGAGACUCAGAGCAGGUGUAACACAGGGCAUGGAGCUUCCUGAGCAAGAGGCUGGCUAACAAACUGUGGACGUGGUACUUAGACACAUUAAGAGACAUUACAGGGACACCUGCAAGUAUGUCUCCCUGGGGAGAAGCCAAGUGCAGAUGCUAUGGCCACAGAUGAUAUGGUUUGGCUCUGUGUCCCCACUCAAAUCUCAUCUCAAGUUGUAAUCCCUGGAUGUCGAGGGAGGGACCUGGUGGGAGGUGAUUGGAUUGGUUCGCAUGAUAGUGAGGGAGUUCUCACGAGAUCUGGUUGUUUGAUAAGUGUCUGGCAUUUCUCCUGUGCUGUCUCUCCUGCCACCUUGUGAAGAAGGUGCCUGCUUCUCCUUCGCCUUCCGCCAUGAUUGUAAGUUUCCUGAGGCCUCCCUAGCAAUGCAGAACUGUGAGUCAAUUAAACUUCCUUUCUUUAUAAAUUA
rnacentral:lncRNA from 1 species